rnacentral:lncRNA from 1 species
AAGGGAAGGGAAGGGAAGGGAAGGGAAGAAGGGAAGGGAAGGGAAGGGAAGGGAAGGGAAGGAAGAGGUCACCGCGCUAGCACCCCAGAACAGGGCAUCUGGGUGGAGCCAGAUCAGUUUAUUCAGACAUUUUUGUUUUCGCAGGAAGAGAUUCUUUUGGGAAGGGGCCCUAGGUGAGAUGUCCUGUACUGGAAACAACCACAAGUCAGACUAAGGCUCUUAGCUUCCAAUUAGAUUGGUUUCAGUCUUUUAUAUGAAGUAUCUAAUUUUUACCAGGAGAAUGAUUGUCCAGAUCUUAAUCUUUUCUAAAGAUUAGUUUCCUGUCCUGGUUUCAAUUUCAGUGGAGUUUACCCUACCUUUUCCUUGUGACUUGUGCCAGGUAUGUAUGGAGGAGAAAGCAGUGUGUGUUUAUACAUAUAUGUGUAUAUAUGUAUAUAUACAUAUGUACGUGUAUAUACAUAAGUAUGUAUAUACAUAUACAUGUGUGUAUACACACACACACAUCUCUAUAUAUAUAUCAGUAGAAUGGAGCAGGUUCUUAUGCCUAUAUGCAGCUGAUUCAGACAUUAAUUACAUAACCGUACAAAUGUGCUUGACUUUGGAGGGCCUCGUCCUGCCCACAGACAUUGAGAAAGUACAACCCUAUUAUUGCUCAGUACAACCUAUCAAGACCAAGACCCCCCUGUAUUUCCUCCACGAAUUAUCUUUCACCAAAAUUUAAAAUGUCCAUACUGCUGUCUGUUACUAAUAAAAACAGCCUACCUCGUGUAAUUAAACAGGCGAAUCUGACUACAUGCCAAUUUUAUUGGUAGUGACUGUGGCACAUUA